rnacentral:snRNA from 1 species
UUGCUUUGGAAGCACAGAUACUAAAAUUGGAACCAUACAUAAAUUAGCGUGGCCCCUGUGCAAGAAUGACACACAAAUUCAUGAACCAUUUCAUACUUUU